UACAGAGGGUGCGAGCGUUGUCCGGAAUCACUGGGCGUAAAGGGCGCGUAGGUGGCGGCCCAAGUCCAUGGUGAAAGCUCGCCGCUCAACGGCGAGUCGGCCACGGAUACUGGGUUGCUCGAGCACUGUAGGGGCAGAUGGAAUUCCGGGUGUAGCGGUGGAAUGCGUAGAGAUCCGGAAGAACACCAGUGGCGAAGGCGACGUGCUGGGUUGCACCUGACGCUGAGAUGCGAAAGUGUGGGGAGCAAACGGG
rnacentral:rRNA from 1 species